rnacentral:rRNA from 1 species
GACGAACGCUGGCGGCGUGCUUAACACAUGCAAGUCGAACGGAAAGGCCCUGCUUUUGUGGGGUGCUCGAGUGGCGCACGGGUGAGUAACACGUGAGUAACCUGCCCUUGACUUUGGGAUAACUUCAGGAAACUGGGGCUAAUACCGGAUAGGAGCUCCUGCAGCAUGGUGGGGGUUGGAAAGUUUCGGCGGUUGGGGAUGGACUCGCGGCUUAUCAGCUUGUUGGUGGGGUAGUGGCUUACCAAGGCUUUGAAGGGUAGCCGGCCUGAGAGCGUGACCGGGCACAUGGGGACUAAGGUAGGGACCAGUCGCGUACGGGACGCAACAGGCGGGAAUAUUGCACAGUGGGCGGGAGCCUGAUGUAGCAACGCCGCGUGCGUGAUGACCGCCUUCUGGGUGUAAACCGCUUUCGCAUGUGACGAAGCGUUAGUGACGGUAAUGGGUAAAGAAGCACCGGCUAACUACGUG